rnacentral:pre_miRNA from 1 species
AGCUUUAUGAAUUAGUACAGAGAUUUCUUCAGACACCAGUGCAUCAGGACGGAUAAGACUCUCAAGAUUAAUGAAUCA